rnacentral:rRNA from 1 species
GACGAACGCUGGCGGCGUACUUAACACAUGCAAGUCGAACGAUGAAGAAGAGCUUGCUCUUCGGAUUAGUGGCGAACGGGUGAGUAACACGUGACUAACCUGCCCCUUUCUCCGGGAUAACGCUCCGAAAGGAGUGCUAAUACCGGAUACUCACAUCGAGGCACAUGCCUUGAUGUGGAAAGUUUUUCGGAAAGGGAUGGAGUCGCGGCCUAUCAGCUUGUUUGUGAGGUAACGGCUCACCAAGGCGACGACGGGUAGCCGGCCUGAGAGGGCGACCGGCCACACUGGGACUGAGACACGGCCCAGACUCCUACGGGAGGCAGAAGUGGGGAAUAUUGCACAAUGGGCGAAAGCCUGAUGCAGCGACGCCGCGUGAGGGAUGAAGGUCUUCGGAUUGUAAACCUCUUUCAGUAGGGACGAAGCGAAAGUGACGGUACCUAAAGAAGAAGCACCGGCUAACUACGUGCCAGCCGCCGCAGUAA